UGAAUGCUUUUCCAAGAUGCCACUGAAGAAAUAGCGUCUGUACCUAUGGACGAUCAUUCUGAGCCCAUGCAGGUGGGGAGAACGCGACUAACCCCGAAGGAGCGCCAGCUCCGGAUUUCAAAGGGUUUAUGUAUAUACUGUGGUCUGGCGGGUCAUUUGUGCUUGUCCGGUUUGUCCAAGGAGCCCUCAUCUUCCUCCCGCCCCUCCGUCUUCCUCAUCCCCUUUGGUACUUGGUUUUCCCUGGCUUUCUCUCCACAACCCUCAGAUUAACUGGACUCGUUCCAAGAUUUCUGGUUGGAGUCCUCACUCCCACAGCCUCAGGUCUGCAGCUAACUCCUACGUCCCUCCACUCCUCUGCCACCCCCUGACCUCUCUCAAGCUUACUUGUUACCACAACCUAGGAGAGGUUUUAAGCAAGAAUCAGGCUCUCUCUCUCCCUCCUCUUUGUCCCUAUGAACCUUUUCAAAUCCUGCUCCAUGUGCAACAGAUCCAAGUCCUCCCACCGCCCUCCCGCUGGUCAUCUACAACCGCUGCCACUAGUGAUGGGUCCUGCAACACCGAUGCGCCGGCGCGCGUGCCGAGCUCACAGAGCAACCCCGCGUAGGUGCGCGUACCGCUUUAAGACAAUCAUGUGACUGUGUCGACUCGUCAAAAACACGCCGAACUGUGUUUAUGAGGAAGCUCAUCUGUCAACAGGAUGCAACUGCUGAAACAAUCUGAUCACACGGUUCCUCGUGAAUAUCUUGUGUGGAUCUGUGUGGAUAUUUGAGAAUAGAGAAUCAACACCCACCAAGCAUUAAUUACUCUAAUUCCACAACCAAAUAAAAAAUACUGACAUGACCGAUGAUUACAUCAUUAAUAAAUAUUUAAUGAAUCGAAAAUGGGCAUAAAACAUUUUGAAACCAUCAUGUUAAUUUCGUAGUUUCACUCAGAGACGCAACUUACCUGGUUUAUCAACUGCCUGUUGGUGUUUCUCCUCGGAUGCUGUCGCCGUUUGUGUCUUUCCCAGUGACUCAGCGGUUCCACAGGUGAACCAGUCUCUGGUGUUUCCUCUAAUCACCUUCAGUCGCCGCUUUCUGUCACAUCCGCAGGUCCGGAUACUGGACACACAGGUUCGCGUCCCGUCUCUGGGCAAAGAGAUCAAGCAUGAAAUGCAGACUUACAACCAAAAGCACUCCACACUGUCCAGCCAGUUGAAUGAAUGACUUCUCCUAUCAUCAGAUCCAGGUAGACAAAGUAGACUAAAUUCAUUGUUUUCACAUCGAAAAGUGGAUGCUACUGUACCUUGUCCUUGACAAGUCACAGAAGGAAAAGUGUUUUUUGUUUGUUUCGUAACUCACAACAAAAAAUAGCAUCUUUACUUGAUACUAUGUUUAUAUUUUAGGAAUGGAAUUCAGUUAAUUGUUUAUAAAAUUGGCACUGAAUUUUGUCAAGGCGCGGCAGGAAAAAUAAUUUAAACACAUACUAUCUACUCUUCUCCCAAAUAAACUCUAAUCAGUCUUUAAAAAGCAAAUAAUCAAAAGAUUGUGUCUCAUUGGAAAAUUGAAGUGUGAAGUCACUUGCACAUUUUCAUUUAACUUCAAGUGCAAACAGCGAAACAGCCGUGAUUUCACGUAGCUAUUGUUGGGUGGUCUUAUGCGGCCAUUUUCCUAUAUUUUUGUAGCCUGCAUGAAGUCAGAUGAAAACUAUACAACUGAUAUGUAGUACUUCUUCUUACUAUUUGUUUUUGUCCUUUUUCUUUUUUAGCCAUUACUAGCUCAACAUUAGUUAAAAUAUGUUCUUGUUUUAAGGCUUUUUUUUUUCUUUUACUUUAACAUUAUUGUGCAUAUUUCCUGUUCAUCGAAAUACAUUGACUGCAACUUGAAAAUGUAUUUUCAAAUAAAUUACCUUUUUGUCAUUCUUAAACGUCUGGUCCAUAGUUUAAUUGUGAUUUAUAUUCAAAUACUAUGCAUAUAAAAUGAACAAUUUAUUGAGAUUUCAGGUUUCGUGGCAUAUUUACAAUUGUUCAUAUCCUAACAUUUAAUCGUUUUCGGUCCAGUUUGUCCUCCUGUUAUUUGAGGAUAUAGUUUGGAUUUUUUCCCCCGACAUGUUUUGUUGUCAUCACUGCCACUCUUUUGCCAUGAUGGUCCCUCACAACAGCCAGUUUUUAUAAUAUGGCCCUUCAAUUAAUCUGCCCUCCUCUUCCAGAAGUGCAGCGUCUGCCACCUGGUGGCCAACAGUAGACACGACACACCCAGAAAAUGUAAGGGCGGUGCUUCUUGUAGUGGACAGGAACCGUUUCUUCCACAGGUUCAAAAAAAUAUCGCGUUCUGUAAGUGGUUAAACAGAAAGUAGAUUGGAUGAAGUCAUGUCUUUACCACUUUGAUUCAUCAAGGUCAAUGACCAGGAACAACCCUGUGACAGAGCAGUCUCAGAACACAUGCUUGCCUGAAGUUUCAGCACCUCCAGAUUCUGUCAUUCAGCUGAUGGGUCAGAGUAUCUUUUGCAUAGUCACGUUAGGAGGAGAUAUUGAGAAACGAAAAAUGAGCGCUUCUUCAAUAUCAAUUUCAAAAGCAUAAAAAAUAAAAUUUCAUCACCGGUCUUCUUCUUGCUUUCACAAUCCAAAAUAAUACAUUUUAGAGUCAAAAUGGAUAAUAAAAGGAUAAUAACUGAUGGACUAAUUUGCCUAUCUUUUUUUGAUCGGAUGUGAAGGUUUUCAAAAUGAGCGCGUCUUGGAACACCAGGUGAAGCCUCUAUACGGAGAUGAUGGACCUGUCCAACGACGAGGACAUGAGUGCAAACAAAGUGAGCUGCAUUUUUCAGCAAACUUGGCCCUGUUUCCUGAGGAGUCCGGUCUGUUCAGCUGAUUUGACCUUGGCCUACUGGGACACUCUGGAGUUCACGGUGAGGCAGAAGACAGUUCAGCAGCUUCGGGAACCCUGGACCGACGAUUCGCUUUCAUGCGGACACCUGCGACAUCCAGCAGUCGAAAAUACACCUCAGCCUGCCUCGCCAGAGCGUCGCUCACCAGAACAGCUCAACGGCUCCCAAUACUGGAAACUAAAUCCCAGAGAGAUUCUUGCUGUGCACGAGUGUGACUUCAAGGUUUGGCAGGGAUCGGACACGUUCCAUAAACUCGCACCAUUUUCAGCACAAAAUCUUUUUACUCUUCUUGCUGAAAGUCUUAGCAGUCCACAUUCAGGCAUUAUUUGAGUCUCUAAAAUCAUAUUGUCGCAAGGUUCAA